CGCCGUUUAAUCAGGAGCAUGCCCAGACGUAAAGAGUAGAAGGCCACUUUGGUUUGGAGAGAAGGGAUUGGAGGUGGAGAGUGGUGAGAGCAGGGGUGUUUCAGAGCAUUGGGGGACAAGCAGCCUCAUCAGAUGACAAGAAUGGGAGGCAUGAAGUAAAGGAAAUAGAUUGGGGAGUAGUAUGAAGAGAGGGAAGGAGGAUACUGCCCAGAAACACCACGCUGCGUACUAGUUAUUUUCACGAUUUAGGGAAACGGGACACCAGGCGCAGAGUUAACAGACAAUGACGGAUUUAAUGACAAAAACUAGGGCAGGUGAGAAAACAUCAGGAAUAAGGUAGGCAUGCUUGAACACUAUGACUCAACAAGAGCUACACAUAACUGGGCAGGCUAAAUAGGGGCUACAAAGACCGGUGAAAACAAUGUGACAAGAGGACAAGCUACAUUCAAGAACAAAGGAUAAAAACCAAUCAGAACAGGCUACAUUCAAGGACAACGGCAAAAAAAAAAAAUGAACUAAACAGAACCUCACAGUUAUGUAGCUAAUUUCUGGUUUUGACUGGUUAAAAUUAUAUUCGUA